rnacentral:rRNA from 1 species
AAGCGAGAUGUGAAAGCCCCGGGCUCAACCUGGGAACUGCAUUUCGAACUGGCAAACUAGAGUGUGAUAGAGGGUGGUAGAAUUUCAGGUGUAGCGGUGAAAUGCGUAGAGAUCUGAAGGAAUACCGAUGGCGAAGGCAGCCACCUGGGUCAACACUGACGCUCAUGUACGAAAGCGUGGGGAGCAAACAGGAUUAGAUACCCUGGUAGUCCACGCCGUAAACGAUGUCUACUAGAAGCUCGGAGCCUCGGCUCUGUUUUUCAAAGCUAACGCAUUAAGUAGACCGCCUGGGGAGUACGGCCGCAAGGUUAAAACUCAAAUG